rnacentral:rRNA from 1 species
GGAAUAUUGGGCAAUGGAGGAAACUCUGACCCAGCGACGCCGCGUGCGGGAUGAAGGCCUUCGGGUUGUAAACCGCUUUCAGUAGGGAAGAAGCGAAAGUGACGGUACCUACAAAAGAAGCACCGGCUAACUAUGUGCCAGCAGCCGCGGUAAUACAUAGGGUGCAAGCGUUGUCCGGAAUUAUUGGGCGUAAAGAGCUCGUAGGUCGUUUGUUACGUCGGAUGUGAAAACCUGAGGCUCAACCUCAGGCCUGCAUUCGAUACGGGCAAACUAGAGUUUGGUAGGGGAGACUGGAAUUCCUGGUGUAGCGGUGGAAUGCGCAGAUAUCAGGAGGAACACCAAUGGCGAAGGCAGGUCUCUGGGCCAAUACUGACACUGAGGAGCGAAAGUCUGGGGAGCGAACAGGAUUAGAUACCCUGGUAGUCCAGACCGUAAACGGUGGGCACUAGUUGUGGGAACCUUCCACGGUUUCUGCGACGCAGCUAACGCAUUAAGUGCUCCGCCUGGGGAGUACGAUCGCAAGAUUAAAACUCAAAUGAAUUGACGG